AUUGAACGCUGGCGGCAUGCCUAACACAUGCAAGUCGAACGCGAAAGAGGGGCAACCCUUGAGUAGAGUGGCGGACGGGUGAGUAAUACGUAGGAAUCUGCCCUAGAGUGGGGGAUAACCUGUCGAAAGACGGGCUAAUACCGCAUAUACUCUGAGGAGCAAAGGUGGCUAGCAAUAGCUUUCGCUUUAGGAGGAGCCUACGUCGGAUUAGCUAGUUGGUAGGGUAAUGGCCUACCAAGGCAACAAUCCGUAGCUGGUCUGAGAGGACGAUCAGCCACACUGGAACUGAGAAACGGUCCAGAAUCCUACGGGAGGCAGCAGUGGGGAAUAUUGGACAAUGGGGGAAACCCUGAUCCAGCAAUGCCGCGUGUGCGAUGAAGGCCUGUGGGUUGUAAAGCACUUUCGUUGGGGAAGAAAUUCUCAAAGAUAAUAUCUUUGAGAGCUGACGUUACCCAAAGAAGAAGCACCGGCAAACACUGUGCCAGCCGCCGCAGUAA
rnacentral:rRNA from 1 species